CCUACGGGAGGCAGCAGUGGGGAAUAUUGGACAAUGGGGGAAACCCUGAUCCAGCAAUACCGCGUGUGUGAAGAAGGCCUGCGGGUUGUAAAGCACUUUCAGUGGGAAAGAAAAACUGAUGGUUAAUACCCAUCGGCUUUGACGUUACUCACAAAAGAAGCACCGGCUAACUCCGUGCCAGCAGCCGCGGUAAUACGGAGGGUGCAAGCGUUAAUCGGAAUUACUGGGCGUAAAGCGCACGUAGGCGGCGCCGUCAGUCCGAUGUGAAAGCCCUGGGCUUAACCUGGGAACUGCAUUGGAUACUGCGGCGCUAGAAUGUGAAAGAGGGGAGUGGAAUUCCAGGUGUAGCGGUGAAAUGCGUAGAGAUCUGGAGGAACACCAGUGGCGAAGGCGGCUCCCUGGUUCAACAUUGACGCUGAGGUGCGAAAGCGUGGGUAGCAAACAGGAUUAGAUACCCCUGUAGUC
rnacentral:rRNA from 1 species